rnacentral:lncRNA from 1 species
CAUAGAUCCAGGAAGUAAGAAUCAGGCCUGCUGAGAACCCACAAGAACUGGCAGUAGACUGAGGGAAGAGUUCCAUUCUAAAUUCAGCUGGACCAUGCCAGGCUGUAUCAGAGGUUUGUCAUAGGCAAUUCAAAUGGAGCAACUGAGAAAAGUUUUUAAAAUAUUUAAUACCUUUUUUAGAGACAGGGUCUUGCUCUGUUGCCCAGGCUGGAGUGCAGUGGUGUGAUCAUAGCUCACUGCACCUUCAAACUCCUGGGCUCAGGCAAUCCUCCUGCCUCAGCCUCCCAAGUAACUGGGACUCCAGGUGUGCACCACCAUGCCCAGCUAAUUUUUAAGUAUUUUGGUGGAGAAGGGGGUCUUCCUGUGUUGCCCAGGCUGGUCUUGAACUCCUUACCUCAAGUGAUUUACCUAGCUCGGCCUCCCAAGGUGCUGGGAUUAUAGGCAUGAGCCACCAUGCCCAGCCCAGCAAAGUUUAAUAAAGAAAUUAUUAACAAGAGUUUACAGAGUUAAGGGAAGUCAAAAAUAGUUAAAGAAGCACUAUAAUAGGAGGGAGCCAUUACUCCCUCUAGGCUUAAAGAGAAGGAGCAAAGGGAGGGAAUAGGUAUCUGGACCUGAGGAAUGAAACUCUGUGUGGUGGAAGCUGUCACCUUUGGUACAGUGUUGGGGCCACUGGCAACGUGCAAUCCAGUGGGAAGGAGCAGGUGGAAACAAUGCUACAGCCCUCUGUCCUCCUGCCUCCAGUCUCCUGCUAGUGCCUGCCUCUGGCCAAACCCACGUAGCUGCUGAAGACCAUGGAACCCACUGGCGCAGUCUGCAAAGGCCCACCUGUGGGACACAGUAGAGAGUGGAGAAGAGACUUCCCCUCACCUUCACCUUCCACUGAAUGACGGCAGGUCGCUAACAUCAUGCUCCAUCUCAAACCUAAAGGGUCCACAGGCUGUACAAGAAGCAUGGUUGGGGAAGCCUCAGGAAACAUACAGUCACGGCAGAGGAUGAAGGCGAAGCAAGCACUUUCUUCACAUGGUGGCAAGCAAGAGAAAGAGCCGAGGGGAAAGUACUACACACUUUUAAACAACCAGAUCUCAUGAGAACUCACUCACCAAAGAG